rnacentral:tRNA from 2 species
CGGAGCGUAGCGCAGGCUGGUAGCGCAUCUGGUUUGGGACCAGAGGGUCGAAGGUUCGAAUCCUUUCGCUCCGA